UUUCCUUGCCAUUUGUCCCUGAGAAGCGGUCUUCCGAUCCUUCCUCUUUCGGUGCUGACGGCUCCCGCGGCUCUUCACGCUGAGAUGUUUCACUGACUUCUGCCUGAGAUCUGGAGAAGGAACACUGCCCAGUAGAUGANCAUGUGUGAAAAAUAACUUCCAAGGAACUUACAUCAUGUGCGCAGGGACUGUGCUAAACAGAAAACUGUCAGUCACUGCGGGAAUGUGGCUUACUGAUCGCCGCGAUCGCCCCCGGCCGCCGCAUCUGUUUCUCCGGUCUCACGCAUAGGCUCCCUGUCUUGCAUGGGAGGGAGCAGACCCAGGGGACACCAGACCAACUUGAGUUCACCUGGGUUGACUAUCCACACCUCUCUCCUCUGUUUUUGGUAUCCCGUGAGGUGUGCUGUGUCUCCUCUACCCUGUGAUUCCUGUUCAUCUCAGGAAGCAGCUGAAAGGGUCAGGAAGGUCCUGGGACAUGAAACUACUGUUUGGAUGA
rnacentral:lncRNA from 1 species